CCCAACCGAGCUUCCUUGCACUAUGUGGAACGGACUAUUCUCAGAUUGGACACGCCUAUAGCUAAAGGAACGUACAACGAGCCAUAGCAGGAGUGAGGACAAUGUCCCGUCAGAUACCACGGCCCACGGGCAAGCCAGCGACCUUCACCUCCCGCAAGUCCCUUCGGUCUCCUUUAGCUCCGGUGGGCGUGGUUCUGUAGUUCUUCUGUUCUGGCCUUCCUUCAUGUCGUA
rnacentral:lncRNA from 1 species